CCAAGGCCGUCACACUAAUGCAGCGGUUUUUAACCUGGGUUCGAUCGACCCCCAGGGGUUCGGUGACUCGGUCUCAGGGGUUCGACGGAGCCUCUGCCAUGGAGGAGUGACCAAACGAGUGGAAAGGAGGAGGAUACGAGAGACUAUAUUGAAAGAAAUAACAGAGUGAGCUGAAAGUCUGAGAUACAUUAUUGGAGUUAAUCAGACUAGAAUGAGGAAAGCGCUGAGGUGAGACAGCAAAAAUUACCACCCUCCACAGCCUGCCGAGAUGGUGCCCAUCUUCACUGGGUCUUUGUUCACACUUUCUCUGAUUGAGGAGGAAGAAUGGCGGAGGGAGCACUGCAGAGGUGAAGUGGCAAAGCUGCGACUUUCCACCUUAAAGUGAUGAAUUGAUUCUCUAAUCCAAUGAAGAGACAAUGAAAAGAAAUGAAGGUGACAAUAGAGGGUGAUUAAAGCUUAAUAUAAAUUCAUUUUUCUUCGGUGUGGUGCAGAUGGUGGUAAUUCCCAUGGCCAAGCCUUUUUAACAACAUAUCAAUAAACCAGCCUAUUUUUUCGAAGGUCAUUUCAUGGCAAAACAUAUUUUCAUGUCUCAUUGAA